rnacentral:lncRNA from 1 species
AAGGAAAAAGAAACUGAAUAAGGAAAAAAGAAACCGAAUAAGGAAAUGGAAAUUGAAUAAGGAAAUGAAAAUCCAAUAAGGAAAUAGAAACCGAAUAAGGAACUAGAAACCGAAAAAGGAAAUGAAUAUUGAAAAAGGAAAAAGAAACCGAAUUAGGAAAUGAAAAUCGAAUAAGGAAAUGGAAAUCGAAUAAGGAAACGAAAAUCCAAUAGAAUAAGGAAAUAGAAACCGAAAAAGGAAAUGAAUAUUGAAAAAGGAAAAAGAAACCGAAUAAGGAAAUGAAAAUUGAAUAAGGAAAUGGAAAUCGAAUAAGGAAAUGGAAAUCCAAUAAGGAAAUGAAAAUCCAAUAAGGAAAUAGAAACCGAAUAAGGAAAUAGAAACCGAAAAAGGAAAUGAAUAUUGAAAAAGGAAGAAGAAACCGAAUAAGGAAAAGAAAAUCGAAUAAGGAAAUGAAAAUCGAAUAAGGAAAUGGAAAUCAAAUAAGGAUGAUAAUCGAAAAAGGUAAAAGAAAACGAAUAAGGAAAUGACAAA